GGAAAUGUGGCGGAAUUGGUAGACGCGCUGGAUUUAGGUUCCAGUGGAGCAAUCCAUCGGGGUUCGAGUCCCCGCAUUUCCACCA
rnacentral:tRNA from 1 species